GCGAGCAGUGGUGUGUCUCCUGCUACUUUCUGAAUAACAAGGAACUAAUAUUCAUGGAGACUUCGCUCAGUGCCUGGCUCUGUGCUGAGAGUCUCAGGAGAUCCACCAAUGGCCCUGUGAUUGUCAACAUUUUUAUAGAUGAGAAAACUGAGGCUCAGAGAAGUAGCAUGCUUAUCUGACUUAUCACCUUCAUGAACCGCAUCCACACUCAGCAAAUAAUUCCACAAGGUCAAAGAACACAACUGUGUUGUUCACUAUUGUAUUCCAAGAAUGGGAGCAUUAGCAAAGAGCAAAGUGAGCAAAUGCAGUGUUAUAGGAUAAUCACCAUCAUCAUUACUGUCAUCAUCGCCAUCGCAUCAUCAUGCCUGGAAAGAUUUGGCACAGAUAUGCCCUACAUUUCAGGGUGGUAAAGAAAAUAUGGAACUGAAGACUGCACACUGUAGAAACUGGACGAGCCACAAGCAAAGCCACCCAGGACACCAGGUGGAGGUCUCCACAAGCAUGCCACCUCCAGCUUGGGAAAUCAGGGAGUGAGUAUCUCUUGGGUGGUAGGAGUAGCUGGAAAACAAACCUCUCAUUGGAAGGUCCCUAAAGAAGCCACCAGCAGCACCUUGAUGGUGGCCCUCCUUCUGCCUUGCUGAACUGACCAUGAUGCCUAAGCCCAGAUGGCCUUUGAUGAGACAGCUGGAGCCUUGGGGUUGACUGCUGUGAGUUUAGCAAGAUUCUGUCUUCUCCAGCCUCUGCCAGCUUUGGGUACACAGGUCAAAUUCAAUUUUCAUAAGCACUUAUGGAGGCUUCCUUGGGUAUUUCCCCAGCUUGGUGCUUGGGACACAGAAAGAUUAGGCCUGGGCACUGGUUUCAACCUCUUGUGCAAGGUAUGAACACAGAUAAAUAUAAUACAGGCAGUGUCAUGUAGACACCAUGGGAAGGGUAUAAACAAAGAUGUGUCUUCCAUGUGCCUGGCACAGGGUCUGGAACACAGUGUACUCUCAAUAAAACUGUAAUAAAGAAUGAAUAAGUGACAUGGUGAGUGCAUGGAUGAAAUGGAGUAAGCAAACAAAUCCAUUGAACACUGUGAUUCACCAUAAGGGUAGCAGAUGCUUCAAGAAUGAAGAGGUGAGCAGUCCCAGCAGUCCUUACACUAUGUUCGGUGUUAGAGCAGGGUUGGAUCGAAGCACUGUGUGCUGUGGAUUCAGUGCACUUGGACAGAGGCAUCAGCUUGCAGGAAAGCUCACAAUGCCCAGCACAUUAGCCUUGAAGAAGUGGCCCUAUGCUUUCUUUGACAUGCCUGUAAGAACAAAGACCACGUGUGUAAGAAAAUGUGUUUAUAGUGCUGUAGAUGAUGGGGGAGAAUACAAGCCAUAUCUCAUGAUGAAGAACUACACAUAAUCUAUGCCCAGGUUAUUCAGUGAUGUUUAGAUGUUUAUGACUAUACAUACUUCAGAACUAUUGAAACACAUUUAUUGUAUAAGUUUGAAACUGUAGUCCAGCAGUUACAAACUCAAAUGCCUACAGGGAUUAGCAAGUAUUUCAAAUGAAAGGCAUGACUAGGGCAGGACAAUAGGAAGUAGUGAGGCUUGCAGGAAACUGGCAAACUCUAGUUUCUCUAAAGAGAGCAACUACUGCUUCUGCUAGCUGAUGCUGAGUAGGGAUGAUAAUUUAUCAGGUCUUAUUUUUCACAAGAGGGGGAAUCUGGAUUUUUCUGUUAACUUUCUCCAUUUCUAUCAUACCUUGUCAACCCAACAAAACACAUCCAUAGGCCAAAUUUUGCCCGUGGGCUGCCUGUUGGCCACCUUUACCUUACUUAUUGCCCUUUUUACUCUGGCACCGCACCUGACAAGGCGCGAAUUUGGGAAAUUUGAUGGUUGUUUGGGUAAUGAGAAUGGGGAUGAUGCUCCUUAAAAAAAAAAAAAAGAAAAAAGAAAUCAAUGGAUGGGGACAGAGUUGGAUUUCAGGGGGAGGGGAAGGUGAAGACAUGGUGCCUUUUAAAGGAGAUAUGAUGGUGAAAGAAAGAGAGAGGGUCAUGGUUUGGGUUUGAGCUAGAGGCAAUCAAAUGAGUUUAGGGAGUGUUAGAGAGAUGGUAAGAGAUCAUCAUCCUCCAUCCGCAUUUACAGAAAACUGACCAUGAGCAACAUGGUGGACAUGAGUGGACAUGAGAUUGGGAAGGGGACAGGGCAAUGAUUGAUGGAUCAAUACCCAGUGGAACUAAGAGGUUACUGCCAAGGACACAUGGAGAGAGUUUUGCUUAACAAGCAGAAAGAACACUUCUCCAAGUCUGAAAAGAGGAGGAAUAGGAAGAAAGAGCUGU